UACGUAGGGCGCAAGCGUUGUCCGGAAUUAUUGGGCGUAAAGAGCUCGUAGGUGGUUUGUUACGUCUGCUGUGAAAACCUAGGGCUUAACCCUGGGCCUGCAGUGGAUACUGGCAAGCUGGAGUAUGGUAGAGGAAGGUGGAAUUCCCGGUGUAGCAGUGAAAUGCGUAGAGAUCGGGAGGAACACCAGUGGCGAAGGCGGCCUUCUGGACCAAUACUGACGCUCAUGCACGAAAGCGUGGGGAGCAAACAGG
rnacentral:rRNA from 1 species